rnacentral:miRNA from 1 species
UAGGUCGGUGCAAAAGUAAUUGCGAGUUUUGCCAUUAAAAGUAAUGGCAAAGCAUGAUUACUUUUGCACCAAUGCAAUA